rnacentral:rRNA from 1 species
UACGAAGGGGGCUAGCGUUGCUCGGAAUUACUGGGCGUAAAGCGCACGUAGGCGGAUCGUUAAGUCGGGGGUGAAAUCCUGGAGCUCAACUCCAGAACUGCCUUCGAUACUGGCGAUCUCGAGUUCGGGAGAGGUGAGUGGAACUGCGAGUGUAGAGGUGAAAUUCGUAGAUAUUCGCAAGAACACCAAUGGCGAAGGCAGCUCGCUGGGACGUGACUGACGCUGAGACGCGAAAGCGUGGGGAGCAAACAGG